GCUGGGCGUGGUGGCGCACGCCUGUAGUCCCAGCUACUUGGGAGGCUGAGGCAGGAGAAUCGCUUGAACCCGGGAGGCGGAGGUUGCAGUGUGCCGAGAUGGGGCCACUGCACUCCAGCCUGGGCGACAGAGUGAGACUCCAUCUCAA
rnacentral:SRP_RNA from 2 species